CGUGUAGGCGGCCUUUUAAGUCUGAUGUGAAAGCCCGGGGCUUACCUCCGGAAGUGCAUUGGAGACUGGGAGGCUAGAGUACCGGAGAGGAGGGUGGAAUUCCUGGUGUAGCGGUGAAAUGCGUAGAUAUCAGGAGGAACACCGGUGGCGAAGGCGGCCCUCUGGACGGAUACUGACGCUGAGACGCGAAAGCGUGGGGAGCAAACAGGAUUAGAUACCCUGGUAGUCCACGCUGUAAACGAUGGGCACUAGGUGUUCGGGGUAUUGACCCCCUGAGUGCCGCAGCUAACGCAUUAAGUGCCCCGCCUGGGGACCACGGCCGCAAGGUUAAA
rnacentral:rRNA from 1 species